UCUCUGGGUGUUCUGCACACAGAUCCUUCUGCCUGGGGCAAGACACUUGCUUUGAAUCCCUGACUGUCACUUCCCCACAUUCUUCCUCCGUCUCAGCUUUCUUUUCUGUAGGCAACUCUUUUGUUCGAUUACUAACCCGUCUAACCCCGGGGUACCUCAACUGCACCCCGAUCAUCCCUUAACAAACUAACGGACCUGCGUGCGUUCUUCCUUUUCUCCUAGCGACUCCUGUGUGUGUCUGCUGAGGUGCCCUGUCCGCUGGUGCUGUGCUCUGACUUACUAACCCAGCCCCUACUAACCCUGUUUUCUCUUCUUACUAACCCCAGCCCUGCCGAGCUCUGGGCUCCCCCCGGGGGCUGGUCCCCCUCCUUUUGGCAAGCAGAUGACUUGGGACUACUGGCCCUGUAUACAGAUGUCCCACUUUGCUGCCCCAUAUUGGCUGUUUGUAAGAUCAGAGUCCACUGGGCCAGGUCUAAGGCAGGGGAUGGCCCUAUUAACAAGACUCAGAGGAGGAGGAGGUGGUCCUGUGGAUGGGGGAGGCUGCACUCUGAGUAUGACAUCUCUCCUCUGUGCAGAAGUCUGGUUGCCACUGGGAGUAGGUGGGACCAGGGAAACCUCUGGGACGUGAGUGUGGAGGCCUGUGGGUCUAGACACUAGACUGUGGAGCUUUGAGCUUUUGUGUCCUUCUCUGGAAGGAAGCUCGGGAAGAAUCUUCUCCAUUGUUAAGUGACAAGGAUAGAAGCUGUCCUGCACAGGAAGAGGGGGGCGUGUCCCACGAGGAAGGCAGGAGGGGGCGUGCCCGUCACCGGAAAUUAGCAGAGGGGCGUGUCCCACACCGGAAUUCAGAAAGCGGAGCCUUUCUUACACCUGAAGUCAAUGAAGCGGGUCUUCCCCACGCUAGAAACCACUGAGUGGAGUAUUUAGUACACAGGAAGUAGGUCAGAGGAACAUUUCCCAUGUUUGAAAGCCGAGAAGAGGGACAUUUCUGACACCGGAAGUCAGUGAGAGGGCUCUUUACCACACAGGAAGUCAGCUAGAGAGGCCUCUUCCAUCUCUGGAGCUGAGAGAGGCGGGUUUCCCCCACCGGAACCCACCUGGGAGGAAUUUUCCGGAGAUCACUGUCUGAUGACCCUGUCUGGGAAUUGGAGCCAUCCAAGUUACACUGACCGUGUUUGGGUUGGGAUAUUGAGGAGGCUGUGGUUAAAAGCAUACGAUGGGAGAUCCUAUUGUACUUGUGAGUGAGAUCCAGCUGGAGGAAUGUUUUAGUUCUUCAGAAAUACCAACGGGUCUCUAGAUGGGCUUUCACUGUUUUGCCCAGGCUAGUCUCCAACUUCUGGGCUCAACCGAUCCACCCUCCUCGGCCUCCCAAGUCCUAGGAUUAUAGGUGGACCUUUGGCAAUAUCUUGAGAUGUUUUUGGUUGCCGUGAUUGAGGAGGUGCUACCUGCCUCUGCUGGGCAGAGGCCAGGGAUGCUGUUCAACAUCCCACAAUGCACAGGACAAUCUUCUCUACAGCAAUGAAUUAUCCAGUCCACAAUCUCAAUAGCACCAAUAUGGAGAAACCCUGUUGAAGAUGGAGCCUAUCCAUGGGGCAUUGAUCUUGGAGUCUCCCCCUUCCUGAAUACUUGAAGUCCCUCUGCAGACUCUUGGAUACCUCCAGCAAUGGGGAGCUCACCACCUGUUUUGAAGCCAGGCAGGUCUGAGCUCUUCUUGUGACUGUGUGACUCUGGAUUUUCCCACAGGUGGGAGUGGCUCCACCACCUUGAGCUUCAGUUUCCCCCAGUGCCAUGGGAUUAGCAGCAGCCCUGCCUCACAGACGCUGCGAGGAUGAAAUGAGAUGAUGUGCCAGAGUUGGCUGGUGCGGUGCAGGGUAUACAGAGAGUGCUCAAUAAACGUUUCCUGCUG